UUAGAGUUUGAUCCUGGCUCAGGAUGAACGCUAGCUACAGGCUUAACACAUGCAAGUCGAGGGGCAGCAUGUUGGUUGCUUGCAACCAAUGAUGGCGACCGGCGCACGGGUGAGUAACGCGUAUCCAACCUACCCUUGUCCAUCGGAUAACCCGUCGAAAGGCGGCCUAACACGAUAUGCGGUUCACCGCAGGCAUCUAACGUGAACGAAAUGUGAAGGAGAAGGAUGGGGAUGCGUCUGAUUAGCUUGUUGGCGGGGUAACGGCCCACCAAGGCUACGAUCAGUAGGGGUUCUGAGAGGAAGGUCCCCCACAUUGGAACUGAGACACGGUCCAAACUCCUACGGGAGGCAGCAGUGAGGAAUAUUGGUCAAUGGACGAGAGUCUGAACCAGCCAAGUAGCGUGCAGGAUGACGGCCCUAUGGGUUGUAAACUGCUUUUAUAGGGGGAUAAAGUGUGUCACGUGUGGCAUAUUGCAGGUACCCUAUGAAUAAGGACCGGCUAAUUCCGUGCCAGCAGCCGCGGUAAUACGGAAGGUCCGGGCGUUAUCCGGAUUUAUUGGGUUUAAAGGGAGCGUAGGCCGUUUGGUAAGCGUGUUGUGAAAUGUCGGGGCUCAACCUGGGCAUUGCAGCGCGAACUGCCAGACUUGAGUGCGCAGGAAGUAGGCGGAAUUCGUCGUGUAGCGGUGAAAUGCUUAGAUAUGACGAAGAACUCCGAUUGCGAAGGCAGCCUGCUGUAGCGCAACUGACGCUGAAGCUCGAAAGCGUGGGUAUCGAACAGGAUUAGAUACCCUGGUAGUCCACGCGGUAAACGAUGGAUGCUCGCUGUUUGCGUCUGACGUAAGCGGCCAAGCGAAAGCGUUAAGCAUCCCACCUGGGGAGUACGCCGGCAACGGUGAAACUCAAAGGAAUUGACGG
rnacentral:rRNA from 1 species